GUUGUAUGGUCAAGUAAUGAAGUGCACAUGGUGGAUGCCUUGGCAGUCAGAGGCGAUGAAAGACGUGAUAGCCUGCGAUAAGCGUCGGUGAGGUGGCAAUAUCCUGUGACCCGGCGAUUUCUGAAUGGGGAAACCCAACCAACAUAAGUUGGUUAUUACACAGUUUACUGUGUAAGGCAAACCGGGAGAAGUGAAACAUCUCAGUACCCCGAGGAAAAGACAUCAAAUGAGAUUCCGUAAGUAGCGGCGAGCGAACACGGAGGAGCCGAUCAAUUUUACAGUAGCAAAAUGGCGUGGGAAAGCCAACCAUAGUAGGUGAUAGUCCUGUAUGCGAAACUGUUUAAGCGACAUAUUAAGUAGGGCGGAACACGAGAAAUUCUGUCUGAAGAUGGGGGGACCAUCCUCCAAGGCUAAAUACUCCUGACUGACCGAUAGUGAACCAGUACCGUGAGGGAAAGGCGAAAAGAACCCCUGUUAGGGGAGUGAAAUAGAACCUGAAACCGUGUGCAUACAAGCAGUCGGAGCGGACUUGUUCCGUGACGGCGUACCUUUUGUAUAAUGGGUCAGCGACUUAUAUUCUGUAGCAAGGUUAACCGAAUAGGGGAGCCGUAGGGAAACCGAGUCUUAAUAGGGCGAAUGAGUUGCAGGGUAUAGACCCGAAACCGAGUGAUCUAUCCAUGAGCAGGUUGAAAGUGCCGUAACAGGCACCGGAGGACCGAACCCACUGUCGUUGAAAAGCCAGGGGAUGACUUGUGGAUAGGGGUGAAAGGCUAAUCAAACUCGGUGAUAGCUGGUUCUCCCCGAAAGCUAUUUAGGUAGCGCCUCGGACGAACACCAUUGGGGGUAGAGCACUGUUUCGGCUAGGGGGUCACACCGACUUACCAAACCGAUGCAAACUCCGAAUACCGAUGAGUGAUAUCCGGGAGACAGACGGCGGGUGCUAACGUCCGUCGUCAAGAGGGAAACAACCCAGACCGCCAGCUAAGGCCCCAAAUUCCUAGUUAAGUGGGAAACGAUGUGGGAAGGCACAGACAGCUAGGAGGUUGGCUUAGAAGCAGCCACCCUUUAAAGAAAGCGUAAUAGCUCACUAGUCGAGUCGGCCUGCGCGGAAGAUGUAACGGGGCUCAAACUAGGAGCCGAAGCUGCGGAUUUAAUUGUUUCAAUUAAGUGGUAGGGGAGCGUUGUGUAAGCCUGUGAAGGUGCACUGUAAGGUGUGCUGGAGGUAUCACAAGAGCGAAUGCUGACGUGAGUAACGACAAAACGGGUGAAAAGCCCGUUCGCCGGAAGACCAAGGGUUCCAGUCCAACGUUAAUCGGGGCUGGGUGAGUCGACCCCUAAGGCGAGGCCGAAAGGCGUAGUCGAUGGGAAAUCGGUUAAUAUUCCGAUACUUGUUUAUGAUGCGAUGGAGGGACGGAGAAGGUUAUGCCAGCCUGGCGAUGGUUGUCCAGGUGGAAGGAUGUAGUUAGACUGAGUAGGCAAAUCCGCUCGGUUAUUAAUGAGAUCUGAUAGCAAGCCAGUUUACUGGCGAAGUGGCAAAUACCCUGCUUCCAGGAAAAGCUUCUAAGCGAUAGUCAUAAACGAAUCGUACCCGAAACCGACACAGGUGGUCAGGUAGAGAAUACCAAGGCGCUUGAGAGAACUCUGCUGAAGGAACUAGGCAAAAUGGUACCGUAACUUCGGGAGAAGGUACGCUGCCGAUGGUGAUGAAACUUGCUUUCUGAGCUGUUGGCAGUCGCAGAUACCAGGCUGCUGCAACUGUUUAUUAAAAACACAGCACUCUGCAAACACGAAAGUGGACGUAUAGGGUGUGAUGCCUGCCCGGUGCUGGAAGGUUAAUUGAUGGGGUUAGCGUAAGCGAAGCUCUUGAUCGAAGCCCCAGUAAACGGCGGCCGUAACUAUAACGGUCCUAAGGUAGCGAAAUUCCUUGUCGGGUAAGUUCCGACCUGCACGAAUGGCAUAAUGAUGGCAGCGCUGUCUCCAGCAGAGACUCAGUGAAAUCGAAAUCGCAGUGAAGAUGCUGUGUACCCGCGGCUAGACGGAAAGACCCCGUGAACCUUUACUACAGCUUUACAUUGAACUUUGACCUAACUUGUGUAGGAUAGGUGGGAGGCUUUGAAGCAGAUACGCCAGUAUUUGUGGAGCCAACCUUGAAAUACCACCCUGGUUAUGUUGGGGUUCUAACUUAGGAUUAACAAAUCCAAGGACAAUGUAUGGUGGGUAGUUUGACUGGGGCGGUCUCCUCCUAAAGAGUAACGGAGGAGUACGAAGGUGCGCUCAGAACGGUCGGAAAUCGUUCAAAGAGUAUAAAGGCAAAAGCGCGCUUAACUGCGAGACCCACAAGUCGAGCAGGUACGAAAGUAGGUCUUAGUGAUCCGGUGGUUCUGUAUGGAAGGGCCAUCGCUCAACGGAUAAAAGGUACUCUGGGGAUAACAGGCUGAUACCGCCCAAGAGUUCAUAUCGACGGCGGUGUUUGGCACCUCGAUGUCGGCUCAUCUCAUCCUGGGGCUGAAGCAGGUCCCAAGGGUAUGGCUGUUCGCCAUUUAAAGAGGUACGCGAGCUGGGUUUAGAACGUCGUGAGACAGUUCGGUCCCUAUCUACCGUGGGCGUUGGAAAUUUGAGAGGAUCUGCUCCUAGUACGAGAGGACCAGAGUGGACGAACCUCUGGUGUUUCGGUUGUCACGCCAGUGGCAUUGCCGAGUAGCUACGUUCGGAUGGGAUAACCGCUGAAAGCAUCUAAGCGGGAAGCCCACCUCAAGAUAAGAUUUCCCUAAAGAGCCGUUGUAGACUACGACGUUGAUAGGUUGGGUGUGGAAGUGUAGUGAUACAUGUAGCUAACCAAUACUAAUUGCUCGUUUGGCUUGACCAUACAACACCCAAG
rnacentral:rRNA from 1 species